rnacentral:rRNA from 1 species
GACGAACGCUGGCGGCGUGCUUAAGCACAUGCAAGUCAAGGGGGUCCCAGCAAUGGGCAACCGGCGAACGGGUGCGUAACACGUGAGCAACCUGCCGAUCUGUGGGGGAAUAGCCGGCCCAACGGCCGGGUAAUACCGCAUACGCUCUUCUCGGGACAUCCCGAGCUGAUGAAACCUUUUGGGCAGAUCGAGGGGCUCGCGGCCUAUCAGCUAGUUGGUGGGGUAACGGCUCACCAAGGCGACGACGGGUAGCUGGUCUGAGAGGAUGGCCAGCCACAUUGGGACUGAGAAACGGCCCAGACUCCUACGGGAGGCAGCAGUGGGGAAUAUUGCGCAAUGGCCUGACGGCUGACGCAGCGACGCCGCGUGUGGGAUGACGCCUUCGGGGUGUAAACCACUGUUGCUCGAGACGAACCACGGACUUUCGUCCGUCUGACGGUAUCGAGUGAGGAAGCACCGGCUAACUCCGUGCCAGCAGCCGCGGUAAUACGGAGGGUGCGAGCGUUGUCCGGAAUCACUGGGCGUAAAGGGGCGCGUAGGUGGUUCGAUAAGUGUGUGGUGAAAGCCCCGGGGGCUCAACCCCGGGGUCUGCCGUGCAAACUGUCGAACUGGAGUACUGCAGAGGCAGGUGGAAUUCCGGGUGUAGCGGUGGAAUGCGUAGAUAUCCGGAAGAAGACCGGUGGCGAAGGCGACCUGCUGGGCAGUUACUGACACUGAGGCGCGACA